rnacentral:rRNA from 1 species
GGGGGGGGGGGGGGGGGGGGGGGGGGGGGGGGGGGGGGGGGGGGUGGGGUAGGUGGGGUUGGUGGUUGGAGCGGGUGAAGGGAGAUACGGGGGGGCGGGGGACGGGUGAGUAGGACGUGGGUAACCUGGCCAAGGGACUGGGAGAACACCUGGGAAGAGAUGGUAAUACCGGAUAACAGAACUAGACGCAUGGCUAGAGUAUCAACGAUGGUUCUGCUAUCACUCUUGGCUGGACCUGCGGUGCAUUAGCUAGUUGGUAAGGCAACGGCUUACCAAGGCAAUGAUGCAUAUCCUAGUUGAUAGACUGACCGGCCACAUUGAGACUGAGACACGGCCCAACCUCCUACGGGAGGCAGCAGUAUGGAAUCUUCCACAAUGGACGCAAGUCUGAUGGAGCAACGCCGCGUGAGUGAAGAAGGGUUUCGGCUCGUAAAGCUCUGUUGGUAGUGAAGAAAGAUAGAGGUAUUAACUGGCCUUUAUUUGACGGUAAUUACUUAGAAAGUCACGGCUAACUACGUG